rnacentral:lncRNA from 11 species
GGAGAACUAAACAAGGAAAUGAAGCAGAGGAGGGAAAAAGCUAGGCCAAGACAUCACACCUCCCUCUGAAAGUACAACCACCCCAUCUGCAGUGGAUACUGAAAAUGUGGAGAAGAGAAAUCCCCAUAUUUCGACUAUACAUGGAAUGGAAGCAUGCUGUAUACUGGAGAACAUAGACCCACAAACUCUUCUGGUGGGAGGACAAUUUUUUGGGUCAGGAUGCAUGACAAGCAGACUGGACGGUGAUUUACCCAGUAGAGAUAUGCCACACAGAUUGAGUGCUUCAAAUGUUGACUUUAUUUCAGGCAGGUGCAACAAGAGCAUACCUUCCAAAAUUCCACAGCUGAAAAUUGGGAAAUACAAGCAAUAUCACAACAUGAUCGAGAUGGCAAAACCUAUUAAUCAACUAACUUGGAUGGGCAAGUUUCUUCUCCUUCCCCCACUGCUGAAUUACAUGAGCACAAACUCAGCUUGCUGGAAAUUGAAAUAAACUACGAACUAAAGAGACAAGGAUGAAAGGAGCAGAGAGACACCAGAGCAUUUUAAAUUCAUCUGGAAAAAUGGAAUGAUAGAGGAUUAAACUGGAACCACCCCUGCAAAAUCAGAAUAUUUGAGAUAUACAUAAUGGAACAUGUACAACUUCUGAGUUUUGUGGUCUUUCAAUAGUGGUAGUGGCGCAGGGUUUUCACAAGAACAUUUAACUUGAGGUCACAACUGUCUUUGGCCCUGACACUCCAGCCACACUUGAAGCAAGAUCCAGUGAUGUUACAAAGGCAAUGUUAUAAGUGACAGUUCCUGGUGAUGUCAUUAAACUUAACAUAUUAAAUAUCAAGCAUGGUUGCACAGAGUACACAAUUCAAAUAAAAACCACCUAGCCUAGUAAAUUAGUUUUUAUACACCACAGACCAGGUAGGAAAGGAGAAGGAAGUAAAGGAAGACUUUCAGGGCAGUGCUCUUACCCUGAGAUUUCUUCCCCGUUAUGAGAAAUUCAGAAGAUAAUCCAGGGCCUGAGAGCCAAGGAACCCUAACUUAAACUGCAUUAUCAAUUCUAAAAACGUAUUUAUUAUGAUUGCAUGCUGCAAUGAAAAAGGAAUUCAAGUAGAGUCAAAUGAAC